rnacentral:rRNA from 1 species
UCAGGCCUAACACAUGCAAGUCGAGCGGUAACAGGGGGUGCUUGCACCCCGCUGACGACGGCGGACGGGUGAGUAAUGCUUAGGAAUCUGCCCAGUAGUGGGGGAUAGCCCGGGGAAACCCGGAUUAAUACCGCAUACGUCCUACGGGAGAAAGCAGGGGAUCUUCGGACCUUGCGCUACUGGAUGAGCCUAAGUCGGAUUAGCUAGUUGGUGGGGUAAAGGCCUACCAAGGCGACGAUCCGUAGCUGGUCUGAGAGGAUGAUCAGCCACAUCGGGACUGAGACACGGCCCGAACUCCUACGGGAGGCAGCAGUGGGGAAUAUUGGACAAUGGGGGCAACCCUGAUCCAGCCAUGCCGCGUGUGUGAAGAAGGCUUUCGGGUUGUAAAGCACUUUCAGCGAGGAGGAAGGCUCUGAAGUUAAUACCUUCAGGGAUGACGC